rnacentral:rRNA from 1 species
GAUGAACGCUGGCGGCGUGCCUAAUACAUGCAAGUCGAGCGAACAGACGAGGAGCUUGCUCCUCUGACGUUAGCGGCGGACGGGUGAGUAACACGUGGAUAACCUACCUAUAAGACUGGGAUAACUUCGGGAAACCGGAGCUAAUACCGGAUAAUAUAUUGAACCGCAUGGUUCAAUAGUGAAAGACGGUUUUGCUGUCACUUAUAGAUGGAUCCGCGCCGCAUUAGCUAGUUGGUAAGGUAACGGCUUACCAAGGCAACGAUGCGUAGCCGACCUGAGAGGGUGAUCGGCCCCACUGGAACUGAGACCCGGUCCAGACUCCUACGGGAGGCAGCAGUAGGGAAUCUUCCGCAAUGGGCGAAAGCCUGACGGAGCAACGCCGCGUGAGUGAUGAAGGUCUUCGGAUCGUAAAACUCUGUUAUUAGGGAAGAACAAAUGUGUAAGUAACUAUGCACGUCUUGACGGUACCUAAUCAGAAAGCCACGGCUAACUACGUG